UAUAUUACUUGGAUAUAUUUUUAAUCUACUAGCAUAAAAGUUUCUUAUAGGUUAUUUGGAGAGAUUAUUAUAUGGGCGCUCUGCAACUCUGUUCGGAUAUUAGGUUUUGGACGCGCGUGGAGGGGUUCUCGGCCUUCUGACAUGGAGGAGGGCGUACAACCUCCUUCACGCAAGUAAGCUACUUUGGCUUCUUGUCGUAUCUUCUCAUUUAUUUCUCUCAUUUUUGCUUCUUCCCUCUUGCCUGUGUUGGAUGUCUAUGCGGUUAUCCAGACUUAGGCGCAUUUAUGUCAAGAGAGCCAGAUGAGAUCCCUUCCACCGAAGGCAUGGACAAGAACAAAUCAUUCAAAAUCGCUUUGCUUGCUUCCAACUCUUCACCGAUUUCAGUCUCUGCUAAAUUUGAAACUAGGGCUUUGAAGGCUCACACAGGUAUUGAUGCCCGAUCGAGUGCGGAGGAGGUCACGCUAGUUAUGAAAAUGAUUGUGGAGAAAUUUGAGAGAUUUAUUGAAGAAGGAUCAAUGUAAUUAUACCUCUCAGAGUUGUCAUAUGGCUACACAUGGACCAAAUUCAACAAUGAACAAUCCCCUUUUGUGAGUGCACUUAAAGCCUUCAUGAAGGAUAUCAAUGAAGGAAGAUGAAGGGAGCAGUAGUAGUUGACCUAAGUGGGUGCGCUAGUUGUGAUUCAUGAUACCAGAACAACUAUUUGGAUGGAAGGCCCGAUGGGUUCGACCUCAUGGCCAGAGACUUAGGAAUACCUUUAUGCGAGUCCUCACAAUUUUGUUCCUUUUUGUACAUCUUUAGCAGCUUGUUUUUUGAUACAACAAGUCUAGCAUACUAAUUAUCUUGCAUAUUCUCUAUUGUACACUGACUAUAGACAUAAUAUGUAUCCUUAGUUAGGAUAGAUGGUUGAAUUAGAUACAUGAUCACAAUUGCAUACAACAAAUAAACUCUUAUUGAUAUAUUGUUAACUGUUCAGUUUCUCUAUAUUUAAUACAAAAAAAAAUCUACUAGCAGAA